UCUCCGGAUCUUCCAAAGCCGAAGACCGAAACCGAAAGAGCCAUAAACAUUUCCUCUGUUUUCUCUUUAUAAGAUCGACUCGUAGUUUUCUGCUUUCAUUUCUGUCUAAACUUCUCGCUUCCCAUUCUUCCUCUUCUUCUUCAACGGUUCGGAGACCCUUCGGAGCUGCAAUGGCUUAUUCUAUUGCCGGAUCAGACGUCUUGGCCUUCAGAUUCGCAGCGAAAUUUGGAUGUACCCUCGACCGUAAAUACGUUCACUUUCGGCAGUGGUCUCCGGUUUUGGGUGUGGUUGGUUCGGGUCAGGUCCGACCUUGCGUUGGCUGUUAGAGAAGGAGAAUAUUUUCCAGAAGAAGAAGAAUUCUUUCUUAUUGAGCUCGUAUAUGUGUGGCGUUUUUUUACAUGAGGAAAAGGAAUAAAAAUGAUUUGAGUUUGUUACAAAUAACCGUUGGGAGCAAUAACUAAUUUUUCUACUGUUACUUUUCAUUCUGUUUUUGUAUAUGGCAAUGGCUCUGUGAUUUGUCUUCUUUACUUGCUACAGUGGCAUGGACGCCUGCCUUCUGUUUGUGAAAAUGCCGCAGAGCUUCAGCUAUUCUAAUAGCCCCCUCGAGUCCAAUGGGGUAUCAACCACAUUGAGACUCGUUCUGAGGGUAGUAAAUUUCUCUGCAACCAGUGGCUUAGUUAGGACAUCUGCUAGUGGAUCCUUGGAGCUGCAAAAUUGGACACGUAGUGUACGGGCAGCAAUUCGAUCCCUCACGAAAUGAAAAUCAAUGUCCAUAUGUUUUGUCUUGGAAUGAUAGAUUGGGUUGACAGAAAGAUAAGUGGCUCCAAUGUUGUCACAUCACAAUAUUGGAGCCUUGGCAAGAGGAAUACCCAACUCUCUAAGCACUGUUUGAAGCCAUAUGGUCUCAGCAGCUGAUGAUGCUAAUGACUUGUACUCGGCCUCAGCUGAAGAAUGAGCAACAGCCUUUUGUUUCUUUGAGCUCCACGAGAUUAGAUGGCUGCCAAGAUAGAUGCAAAAGCCUCUAGUUGAUCUUCGAUCAUCUAGACAAUCUCCCCAAUCAGAAUCUGAGUAUGCUUGAAGAGUGAAUGUGGACUGCCUUUUGAAGAGUAAGCCAUAAUUAAUUGUCGCUUUUAGAUACCGAAGGACAGACCCUUUUAACAGCAUUCCAAUGAGAUGCCUUGGGAGAGUGCAUGAACUGGCAGAUUUUAUUCACUGCAAAGGAGAUGUCGGGCCUGGUGAGGGAGAGGUAUUGUAGACCACCAACAAUGCUGUGGUAUAGAGUUGGAUCAUCAAAAUCUGGGGAAUCAAAUUUUGAGAGCUUGAGGGAGGCUGCCAUUGGUGAGGAAAUUGGCUUGGCAUGCUGCAUCUGACUUCGAAGGAGCAGACUGUUGAUAUACUUGCGCUGAGUUAGUAGAAGAACUGCUGCUGACAUGACAGCCAAGCUAGGGGAAGACGUUGAGAAGAAACUGCUGGAGAUCAUCCCAUUAGGAAGGUAUGGCCAACCGGAAGAAGUCACUGGACUAGUAGAAUUCUUGGCCCUUAACCCUGCGGCCAGUUACAUAACUGGACAGGUGUUGACCAUUGAUGGAGGGAUGGUGAUGUAGGUCAGCUGUGUCCGCCCUGCCUGGUCAAGCCCAAGCAGAACGUUUGAGCUUUUCACAGUUAAGCUAAUGCCACUGAUAUCACAAAAUUCAACUUCCUGUAAGAAUUUAUGUGGAUGCUUAUGUAGUUUAGCAUUCUUGCUUGAGAUGGUUAGGUUUUAAAAUAACACUCUGGCAAGUUUUGAUAGAAUUUCAAAUAAGCUUCUUAAAGAACCCUGAUAAGU